rnacentral:misc_RNA from 1 species
AAGGAGUCUAACAUGCUUGCGAGUAUUUGGGUGUCAAACCCGGAUGCGUAAUGAAAGUGAAUGGAGGUGGGAAGCGCAAGCUGCACCAUCGACCGAUCUGGAUUUUCUAAGAUGGAUUUGAGUAAGAGCACGUAUGUUGGGACCCGAAAGAUGGUGAACUAUGCCUGAAUAGGGCGAAGCCAGAGGAAACUCUGGUGGAGGCUCGCAGCGGUUCUGACGUGCAAAUCGAUCGUCAAAUUUGGGUAUAGGGGCGAAAGACUAAUCGAACCAUCUAGUAGCUGGUUCCUGC